UACGGAGGGUGCAAGCGUUAUCCGGAUUCACUGGGUUUAAAGGGUGCGUAGGUGGGCAUGUAAGUCAGUGGUGAAAUCUCCGGGCUUAACCCGGAAACUGCCAUUGAUACUAUAUGUCUUGAAUACCAUGGAGGUGAGCGGAAUAUGUCAUGUAGCGGUGAAAUGCUUAGAUAUGACAUAGAACACCAAUUGCGAAGGCAGCUUACUACACAGUUAUUGACGCUGAGGCACGAAAGCGUGGGGAUCAAACAGG
rnacentral:rRNA from 1 species